rnacentral:rRNA from 1 species
GAUCGGCCCGCGUCUGAUUAGCUUGUUGGUGGGGUAACGGCCUACCAAGGCGACGAUCAGUAGCUGGUCUGAGAGGAUGAUCAGCCACACUGGGACUGAGACACGGCCCAGACCCCUACGGGAGGCAGCAGUGGGGAAUAUUGGACAAUGGGCGCAAGCCUGAUCCAGCCAUGCCGCGUGAGUGAUGAAGGCCUUAGGGUUGUAAAGCUCUUUUGUCCGGGACGAUAAUGACGGUACCGGAAGAAUAAGCCCCGGCUAACUUCGUGCCAGCAGCCGCGGUAAUACGAAGGGGGCUAGCGUUGCUCGGAAUCACUGGGCGUAAAGGGCGCGUAGGCGGCCGAUUAAGUCGGGGGUGAAAGCCUGUGGCUCAACCACAGAAUUGCCUUCGAUACUGGUUGGCUUGAGACCGGAAGAGGACAGCGGAACUGCGAGUGUAGAGGUGAAAUUCGUAGAUAUUCGCAAGAACACCAGUGGCGAAGGCGGCUGUCUGGUCCGGUUCUGACGCUGAGGCGCGAAAGCGUGGGGAGCAAACAGGAUUAGGUACCCUGGUAGUCCACGC